CCCUUAGAUGUUCUGGGCCGCACGCGCGCUACACUGACGAAUGCAACGAGCUUAUAACCUUGGCCGAAAGGUCUGGGUAAUCUCCAAAUUUCGCCGUGAUGGGGAUAGAUUAUUGCAAUUAUUAAUCUUCAACGAGGAAUGCCUAGUAAGCGCAAGUCAUCAGCUUGCGUUGAUUACGUCCCUGCCCUUUGUACACACCGCCCGUCGCUCCUACCGAUUGAAUGGUCCGGUGAAGCGUUCGGACCGUGGCCUUUGGACGGUUCGCCGUCUGUUGGCUGCGGGAAGUUCGUUAAACCUUAUCAUUUAGAGGAAGGAGAAGUCGUANCA
rnacentral:rRNA from 1 species